AGAGGGUGCAAGCGUUGUUCGGAAUCACUGGGCGUAAAGCGCGUGUAGGCGGCUCGUUAUGUCGAAUGUGAAAGCCCUCGGCUUAACCGAGGAAGUGCGUUCGAAACUGGCGAGCUUGAGUACCGGAGAGGAAGGUGGAAUUCCCGGUGUAGAGGUGAAAUUCGUAGAUAUCGGGAGGAACACCAGUGGCGAAAGCGACCUUCUGGACGGAUACUGACGCUGAGACGCGAAAGCGUGGGUAGCAAAUAGGAUUAGAUACCCUGGUAGUCCACGCCGUAAACGGUGGGCACUAGGUGUGGCGGGUGUUGACCCCCGCCGUGCCGAAGCUAACGCAUUAAGUGCCCCGCCUGGGGAGUACGGCCGCAAGGUUA
rnacentral:rRNA from 1 species